UACGUAGGGUGCAAGCGUUGUCCGGAAUUAUUGGGCGUAAAGCGCGUGUAGGCGGCUUUGCAAGUCGGGUGUGAAAGCCCUCAGCUCAACUGAGGAAGUGCGCCCGAAACUGCAGAGCUUGAGUGCCGGAGAGGGUGGCGGAAUUCCCCAAGUAGAGGUGAAAUUCGUAGAUAUUGGGAAGAACACCGGUGGCGAAGGCGGCUCUCUGGACCGAGACUGACGCUGAGGCGCGAAAGCGUGGGGAGCAAACAGG
rnacentral:rRNA from 1 species